CCUCUGCCAGGGUGGCUGGACAGAGGAGGUGGGUGCCAACCAGCCAAAUCCGCCACCUGCCCUUUUACCAGCGCCCUGCCCCCCACAACCUCUCCAAGGAAAGGAACUCGGGGGGAAACACAGAACCUGGCCUGUGUCGUAGAAGUCCUGGUUCUUUUUAUCAGGUCACCGAAUAUUCACGAAGGUAGAAAAGAAAGGACAACCAUGAGAGGAAUUUAUCCAAUAUGGAGGCCAUUGUGAGCAAAAAGACAGCUUCAAGGACCUGCACGGCGGUGCUGUGGAUAAGUGAGCAUGCUUGCGCACGCUCAGAUGCUCACUAACAGAGGCAGGAGUGCUGAACACGUCCCGCAGCAUCCAGUCAGCGGGACGCUGUGCAAUGUCUUCAGACGAAUGACAAAAGCGUGCAGCAGCAAUCCAGGAAGUGCCAGUAGGGGAUGAAGGAACACGGGGAGCAGCUGCGCGCGAAGCCGCCACUCAGCGGCAGAGGCCUCGGGACCACGCGAGUAGAGCCGGACGCUGCAGAAUCCCUUCUCCAGCCCCAACCGCACGCCUCUUGUGCUCUGCACCCCCUUUCCUCCUGAGAGCCUCCCAAGACGUGGAGAGAGGAGAAGGGAACAGACAGAGCAGCAGGACGGAGGCAGCAAGACUCCGAAUGUACCCGGGUGGGAACCGCCGUCCCGCGCACGUGGCCUGAAGCCGAUUUCUGCAGCCAGCGGAAGAGCCCCUCUGAGGACACUCCCCAAACCCUGUCUCCUCACCUGCCGUGCAGCCACUUGUUUAAGAGAAGACUUGUUUAAGCCACUUGUUGAAGUGAAAUAUUCACUUAAGUGGAUAUUUGUGGGGUGCCCACCAAGUGCUGGGCACUGCUCUGAGCAUCAUCCUGGAUGGAAGCAGGGGCGGGAGGGCCCAGGCCUCCUCCAAAGAACAGGAUGCCCCGG
rnacentral:lncRNA from 1 species